rnacentral:rRNA from 1 species
AAUCAACGCUGGCGGCGCGCUUAACACAUGCAAGUCGCACGAGAAAGUGGAGCAAUCCAUGAGUACAGUGGCGUACGGGUGAGUAACACGUGGGUAAUCUACCUCUUAGUGGGGAAUAACUCUGGGAAACCGGAGCUAAUACCGCAUAAGCCUGGAAAGGGAAAGCAGCAAUGCGCUGAGAGAGGAGCCCGCGGCCGAUUAGCUAGUUGGUAGGGUAAAAGCCUACCAAGGCAAUGAUCGGUAGCCGGCCUGAGAGGGCACACGGCCACACUGGCACUGAAACACGGGCCAGACUCCUACGGGAGGCAGCAGUGGGGAAUCUUGCACAAUGGGGGCAACCCUGAUGCAGCGACGCCGCGUGAGCGAUGAAGCCCUUCGGGGUGUAAAGCUCUUUCGGCAGGAACGAUAAUGACGGUACCU